UGACGUCAUUUAAUCACGUGAUAAUCCUAGUAAAGCUACUCAUUUGGCAUGGUUAUCACACACCAAAAUAACCUAGAGGAAUCAAUGUUGUUAAAAACAAGUGUUAGAAUCUGUCCCUCGUUUUGGUACCAAAUGGCUCUUUCCAGGGUCCUGGCCCAUGGACUAAGUUUGGAGUGAUACAAAAUGCUAGGAGCGUGUGGCGUAAUACUCUUCCCCGUCCCCUCCCCGCUCCUCCUGGCUAUUUCCCAGUGAUCUCUUCGAGUGUAGUUCGUCCUCCAUUUUGGCACGUGUGAAGAAGAAUGGUGGAAAAUUAGGUUUUUCGUAAUUUCACAGAGUCAGGAGAUGGAAAAUGAAGACGGUUGUCUGUUUGUUGACAACCUCUGAAGACCUCCGGACGAAGAUCAGAUGCCAACAGAGACAAGGUGGUCCAAAGCUUGAACCAGUCAUCUUUAGAAAAACUGUAUGUUUUAUUUUGUAAUCCAACUCUUGGGGGAACCAGGUGAACAAAACUCUUGAAUAAGCCAAGUUCUGCCCUGACUAACUUAGUUCAGUCUUGCAAUGUACAUGGUAUUCUUCCAUGGUUGAUUUGCACAAUGAAGAGAAGAACUCUCAUAUAACAGUUUUUUAGCAGUACAGUUUCAAACCCAUCGUGACUUACUACCUGACCGACCAACUGACUUACUGACUGACUGACUGACUGACUGACUGAUGCAAGGAAUGACAAAGUGACGGACUUAGCGACUGACUCACUGAAAGACUGAUUUACAGAAUAAUGGACUGACUGACUGACUUACUGAUCUACUGAGUGACUGACAGAAUGGGAGACUGUCUGAUUGAUG